rnacentral:rRNA from 1 species
CCUUUGACGUUAGCGGCGGACGGGUGAGUAACACGUGGGUAACCUACCUAUAAGACUGGGAUAACUUCGGGAAACCGGAGCUAAUACCGGAUAAUAUUUCGAACCGCAUGGUUCGAUAGUGAAAGAGUGGUUUUGCUAUCACUUAUAGAUGGACCCGCGCCGUAUUAGCUAGUUGGUAAGGUAACGGCUUACCAAGGCGACGAUACGUAGCCGACCUGAGAGGGUGAUCGGCCACACUGGAACUGAGACACGGUCCAGACUCCUACGGGAGGCAGCAGCC